rnacentral:rRNA from 1 species
CGACCUUGAAAUACCACCCUUUAAUGUUUGAUGUUCUAACGUGGACCCGUAAUCCGGGUUGCGGACAGUGUCUGGUGGGUAGUUUGACUGGGGCGGUCUCCUCCUAAAGAGUAACGGAGGAGCACGAAGGUUGGCUAAUCCUGGUCGGACAUCAGGAGGUUAGUGCAAUGGCAUAAGCCAGCUUGACUGCGAGCGUGACGGCGCGAGCAGGUGCGAAAGCAGGUCAUAGUGAUCCGGUGGUUCUGAAUGGAAGGGCCAUCGCUCAACGGAUAAAAGGUACUCCGGGGAUAACAGGCUGAUACCGCCCAAGAGUUCAUAUCGACGGCGGUGUUUGGCACCUCGAUGUCGGCUCAUCACAUCCUGGGGCUGAAGUAGGUCCCAAGGGUAUGGCUGUUCGCCAUUUAAAGUGGUACGCGAGCUGGGUUUAGAACGUCGUGAGACAGUUCGGUCCCUAUCUGCCGUGGGCGCUGGAGAACUGAGGGGGGCUGCUCCUAGUACGAGAGGACCGGAGUGGACGCAUCACUGGUGUUCGGGUUGUCAUGCCAAUGGCACUGCCCGGUAGCUAAAUGCGGAAGAGAUAAGUGCUGAAAGCAUCUAAGCACGAAACUUGCCCCGAGAUGAGUUCUCCCUGACUCCUUGAGAGUCCUGAAGGAACGUUGAAGACGACGACGUUGAUAGGCCGGGUGUGUAAGCGCAGCGAUGCGUUGAGCUAACCGGUAC